GACGAACGCUGGCGGCGUGCUUAACACAUGCAAGUCGAGCGGUAAGGCCCUUCGGGUACGACGAGCGGCGAACGGUGAGUAACACGUGGGUGACCUGCCUCUAGCUCUGGGAUAAGCCUGGGAAACUGGGUCGUAAUACCGGAUAUGACUCCACGGCGCAUGUUGUGGGGUGGAAAGCCUUGUGUGGCUAGAGAUGGGCCCGCGGCCUAUCAGCUUGUUGGUGGGGUGAUGGCCUACCAAGGCGACGACGGUAGCCGGCCUGAGAGGCGACCGGCCACACUGGGACUGAGACACGGCCCAGACUCCUACGGGAGGCAGCAGUGGGGAAUCUUGCGCAAUGGGCGAAAGCCUGACGCAGCGACGCCGCGUGAGGGAUGACGGCCU
rnacentral:rRNA from 1 species